GAGCGAGGGGCACCUCGAGGACUGUCUAACCUGAGAAUGGUGAAACAUGAGGGUCAAUCUCAGGUUCGUCAGCCCAUGAGAUGCCUUCUCCAG
rfam:Colinus virginianus strain Texas jcf7180006226952, whole genome shotgun sequence.